rnacentral:rRNA from 1 species
CCUACGGGAGACUGCAGUGAGGAAUAUUGGUCAAUGGCCGCAAGCCUGAACCAGCCAAGUAGCGUGAGGGAUGACGGUCCUACGGGUUGUAAACCUCUUUUGUCCGGGGAUAACACCCUCCACGUGUGGCGCUUUGCAGGUACCUUGCGAAUAAGCAUCGGCUAACUCCGUGCCAGCAGCCGCGGUAAUACGGAGGGUCCGAGCGUUAUCCGGAUUCAUUGGGUUUAAAGGGUGCGCAGGCGGACGGUCAAGUCAGCGGUAAAAUGUCGCGGCUCAACCCCGUCGUGCAGUUGAAACUGGAGGUCUUGAGUGCGCAAGAGGCAGGCGGAAUGCGUGGUGUAGCGGUGAAAUGCAUAGAUAUCACGAAGAACCCCGAUUGCGAAGGCAGCAUACCGGGGUGCAACUGACGCUCAGGCACGAAGGUGCGGGUAUCGAACAGGAUUAGAUACCCGAGUAGUC